rnacentral:rRNA from 1 species
AGCCGCGGUAAUACGUAGGGUGCGAGCGUUGUCCGGAAUUACUGGGCGUAAAGAGCUCGUAGGUGGUUUGUCGCGUCGUCUGUGAAAUUCCGGGGCUUAACUUCGGGCGUGCAGGCGAUACGGGCAAUACUUGAGUGCUGUAGGGGAGACUGGAAUUCCUGGUGUAGCGGUGGAAUGCGCAGAUAUCAGGAGGAACACCGAUGGCGAAGGCAGGUCUCUGGGCAGUAACUGACGCUGAGGAGCGAAAGCAUGGGUAGCGAACAGGAUUAGAUACCCUGGUAGUCCAUGCCGUAAACGGUGGGCGCUAGGUGUAGGGGUCUUCCACGACUUCUGUGCCGUAGCUAACGCAUUAAGCGCCCCGCCUGGGGAGUACGGCCGCAAGGCUAAAACUCAAAGGAAUUGACGGGGGCCCGCACAAGCGGCGGAGCAUGUGGAUUAAUUCGAUGCAACGCGAAGAACCUUACCUGGGCUUGACAUACACCGGACCGGGCCAGAGAUGGUCUUUCCCUUGUGGCUGGUGUACAGGUGGUGCAUGGCC